ensembl:lncRNA
AAAAAACAGUGCAUUACCAUUGCUGAGACAAAUCCAGAUCUUGUCUUACUCAGCCAACCAAAUUUUACCAUUUUCAGCAGAACUGUUCUUAGAUCUGUUUGACAUUUAUCUUCAUGCAUGACCUUCAGGAUGAUUUGAAACAUCUUCACAUAGCAGGUCGUCUCACAUAUAUUUUGAAAUGUUAAGGAGAAAUUAACUUCUAACUGUUGGAGUUUUUCCAGUGAUUUCUAAAUACACAUAGAGAAGCAGUCUGUGUCAUGAAGUGCUUCUAGUGAUUUUGAUGGUAGAAGAGCCAUGGUAGAGAAAUGUUGAACUUAGAAAAUCAGGUUGUUUAGCCUGCCUGUUGAUCUGGAGAAACAGUUCAUGCCUGCCUUGCAAAUGAAGAUUUGGGAGGAAAAAGUAUCCUUGAGACUGCUUUGCCUGGUGAGCCCUCAAUUACUGUCUAAUGGUGGCAGAGAGUCAUUUUUCUUAGUGCAAAUGAGUGCUACCUGCUUUUAAUCUUGGACAUUACAAUCCCUUUUUCAGAUUAAGUGAAAUGUUAGAGGGAGAGGAAAUCCCAUCAGGAGCAUCAAUACAGCAUUACUUUAAGUUGUAAUGAUGGCAGUUGCAGAGCUGAACAAAUG